rnacentral:rRNA from 1 species
UACGUAGGGUGCGAGCGUUAAUCGGAUUUACUGGGCGUAAAGCGUGCGCAGACGGCCCGUUAAGACAGGUGUGAAAUCCCUGGGCUCAACCUAGGAAUUGCGCUUGUGACUGGCGGGCUCGAGUACGGUAGAGGGGGGUGGAAUUCCUGGUGUAGCAGUGAAAUGCGUAGAGAUCAGGAGGAACACCGAUGGCGAAGGCAGCCCCCUGGGCCUGUACUGACGCUCAUGCACGAAAGCGUGGGGAGCAAACAGG